ACCAGGCUUUGGAAGUUGGUGCCGGUGCAGGCGGGAGGACAGAGAAGGCCCCGGGACCCGAGUCCUGGGACCGGAGGAGGAAGGGGAGGACUGGCAGCGUGGGUGCAGAAGAUUGGUGGGGCUGUGUAUCAGGUAGGUCUCCGCGGCUAUGCCAGGGGUAGUAGAAGUCAGGGGUGGAGGGAGGGCCCAGAUACUGGGGUGCGGCCUCCUGGGCCGGAAGCCGAGCGGAAGCUGGCUGUCCCGACGCCGGCCCCAUCCCCUUGGCUUCCUGCUGGGCAGCGUUGUGGGUCCGAGACCGGGGUGCAGGGCCCCUACGCUGAAGACCUGAACUGCGCGAGGACGCACGGGACCUUCCGGGAGCGCGAAGCCCGGGCACCUGCGCUCGCGCACGUGCGCUCCUGUGCGCCUGCGCGCGCGUGCUUGUCGCUUUCAGGGAGUUUGGCGCUCUGGCCUCUGCGCGGCGCCUGGUUCUUCCGGAGGCCGGAGCCAGCCGAGGGGGUCGGUCGGUGCCCCUCGGUGUUUCUUGCGCCGGGGCGCUGCCACUGCAGAGGGCGCCCUGGGGGCCAAGUGACUGCCACGUCCACUGGCACGGGCACCGUUCACACGUGCGGUCCACGCGGCGGCCUGGCGUGUCCUCGCUCUGCCUGCGGCAUCAGCCCAUACCAGAGCAACGCACAUCCUGUAUGGAGUCUCAGGUACCAGACAGCAGUCAUCUGAGAAGGAGAUUCAAAUCAAGAGAAAAAAAUUGGGGAGAACUGAAGUGCAUCUGGCGAUCGGUAAGAAGGAACCAACUUGCUUUGAAGUGAUGCAGCCAUUUCUGCCCGUUGUUGGCUCCUUCUACUACGGCGUCUCCCCCAUUCAUGCAGAUGUGGUCCUUGAAACGGAGGCUCUUCUCAGGGCAGAAUGACCAAGAAACUCCGGUUUGGACUUGCCCACGUGGCUGGAGAGGGUGCCGCGCCCCUCGAUGUCAACUCCCCACUAUAGGCAAAGGGGGCGCUCGCGGUGGCCGUCACCAGCCAUCCCCUGGCAUGGCCCAGGACCACUAACCCCUUUCAAUUGGAUGGCUCGGCAUCUCUAACUAAGUAGGGGAAAAUGUGGGGGCAGGAAUUAGCGGUCCAGCCUGGAGCAUUUGGCUGCCUUCUGUCCCCUCCCCUUCCAAGUCCUUGUGCUCUGUUUGAAAUUAAAUGUAUGUUUUCUUCCAAAAAGAAUGACAGAGAGGAAAGGAAAAGCCACCCAGGGUUGAAAAGUGGUAGCUCCUUGCAGCUGACUUCCUGCCUUUGCCAAGAAGGCAACUCUGCUGUCCUCAGCUCACCCUUGCCGGGGGCCAGGCUCUAUGCAAAUGAGAAGCUGUUUCCACGUCUGCCCAUCUGAGGCUCUUAAGUAAAAAAGAAAGAAAGAAAAGAAGAAAACCACCGUCACCACCAACAAAAAAACCCCAAGACCAAUUAAUUCCAGUAGAUUGCAGCAAAGCAGGGGCCUUGGUGGGGACACAUCCUGUUUUGACAUUGAAGCUGUCAGCCCCCAUGCCAUGACCCUCCCUGAUGAGCCGUACUCAGUUGUGAAAGAAAUUGGGAGUGACAAAGAAUUCAGAACAGUUGCAGGACAGUUUUUCUAACCUCUGGUCACUUGGAAUGCUAUUUGUUUUUUUUUUUUAGACUAAUUUGCUUUGAUGGGAAAAAUAGGAAAAGCAAACCUAAGUCUUAAACGAUGCCUACGG
ensembl:lncRNA